rfam:Ictidomys tridecemlineatus contig120121, whole genome shotgun sequence.
GGGGUUGUGGCUUAGAAGUAGAGCACUCGCCUACCAUGUGUGAAGUCCUGGGUUCAAUCCUCAGCACCA